rnacentral:rRNA from 1 species
CCUGGCGGUCAUAGCGGAGAGGAAACACCCGAUCUCAUUCCGAACUCGGAAGUUAAGCUCUCCAGCGACUUGAGUUGUACUGUCUUUCGACGGGAACCUCAUGACGCUGCCAGAC